GGGGUCUCUUCCCCACAGGGGCUGGGAUGGUGGGGGCUGCUGAAGCCGCCAUCUUGGAUUCCGCGGUAGCGGAGGCGGCGGUCAGGCGCCGCUUCUGGGGAGUGGCCUUUCUCUUCCCCUCCCUCCCGGUUCGGUGGCGGCGGCUCCUCCCACGGCGGGGGGGGUGGUGCGGCGGCGGUGGCAUCUACCGCCAUGGCGGCGACUACUGCCAACCCCGAAAUGACAUCAGAUGUACCAUCACUGGGUCCAGCCAUUGCCUCUGGAAAUCCUGGAUCUGGAAUUCAAGGUGGAGGAGCCAUUGUCCAGAGGGCUAUUAAGCGGCGACCAGGGUGAGUUUGAGUGUAGUGUUAUGAAUGUCUCUCCUAUAAACCAACUGUAGUUGCUGAAUUUAUUUAGUUGCUGAACUCACUUGGCUAUUUCUGACCGUCUCACUUCAACUUGAUUACUUACUACCCUACUGUCAUAUGAGUCUCCUUAGUCCCUGAAUUUUUCUUUAUGAAGAAUUUAUGUUUUUAUCCAAGUUUCCCAUAAGCAAUUCUCUUUUUAAACCAAAAUUUCUGUAAGGUAAAAGACUGUAGCUAAGCCGGGAGAUUUUACUGUGCCUGAGAAAACUGUUUGCUGCUUUCAUUAAGCUUUGUUUCUGUUUUCCCAAAAUCAUUUUGAUAGGCUGCUUUUCUGAAUUCAGAGAAUGCUGAGCUCUAGAAUAGCUAGCUGUCUUCUAAGUUAUUGAUAUGUUGCUUGGUUUGGAAUGCAGAGUCCAUUGAGCUCCAAAAGUAUUUAUUAAAUUCCUAAUUAGUGUUAUGGCAGUGUGCUGAUUGCAAGUAGGAUGCAAAGAUGAGUAAGUCACAGUCCUUGUUUCUAAGUUGGUUGUUCUGAUAGAAAUAAUUAUUAUACACACGAAUAUAUGAUAGAAUAUGCCUAGUUUUGUUAGAAAGGAACAAAUUUGGUGCUAUGUUUUUCUGUGUAUGGAAAUAAUACAUUUGUUGGUAAACAUUGAGAAAAGCUUCAGAAGGGAGGUUACCUUAGAGGGGCCUUGAAGAAUGGGCACUAUUUUAUUUACUUUCUUGUAUUAAAUUUUCCUCUUUCCUUCUUUUUCUUUUUAAAAAUUGUGCAGCUAAUUAUAACCAGUCUUUAAUUUUUGUCCCACCAAUAGUAAUGGAAGAGUGAUGCCUGGGCUCAGUGGUGACAUGAGUAACAUAUUAAGACUUUCUAUGUGUUCAGUAGCUUUAAACAUUUGAACCAUUUGCUGAAGCGUAAGCUAAAUAAGUAACUUUCUAAGAUUGUAAAGCUGAUAAAUGUCAGAUAUAGGAUAUGGACCUUGGGGGUUUAGCUUUGUAGCUUACUCUUUAAACACUGUGUUAUGGUUAUGUAUAGUAACAAACAAUUAGAAGUAUUAUAAAUACCAAAAUUAGGGCAUCACUUGAGAAAGUCAUAGUAUAUUUAAAAUGGAAUGCUAUGUAGUUAGAAGUGACAAAUAUGUUUCAGUAUAGAAAAAUAUUUACAAGCUAUUAAGAAAG